rnacentral:misc_RNA from 1 species
GAUGAAGAACGUAGCGAAAUGCGAUAAGUAAUGUGAAUUGCAGAAUUCAGUGAAUCAUCGAAUCUUUGAACGCACAUUGCGCCCGCCAGUAUUCUGGCGGGCAUGCCUGUUCGAGCGUCAUUACAACCCUCAGGCCCCCGGGCCUGGCGUUGGGGAUCGGCGGAGCCCCCCGUGGGCACACGCCGUCCCCCAAAUGCAGUGGGGUCCCGCCGCAGCUUCCAUCGCGUAGUAGCUAACACCUCGCGACUGGAGAGCGGCGCGGCCACGCCGUAAAACACCCAACUCUUCUGAAGUUGACCUCGAAUCAGGUAGGAAUACCCGCUGAACUUAAGCAUAUCAAUAAGCGGAGGA